rnacentral:tRNA from 1 species
GGCCGCUUAGCUCAGUUGGCAGAGCACUACGCUCACAUCGUAGGGGUCGCUGGUUCGAGUCCAGCAGCGGCCA